rnacentral:rRNA from 1 species
GAUGAACGCUAGCGGCAGGCUUAAUACAUGCAAGUCGUGGGGCAGCAGGUUUGUAGCAAUACAGAUGCUGGCGACCGGCAAACGGGUGCGGAACACGUACGCAACCUCCCUCUAACUGGAAGAUAGCCCACCGAAAGGUGGAUUAAUACUCCAUAACAUAUUGAAAAGGCAUCUUUUUGAUAUUAAAGCUCCGGCGGUUAGAGAUGGGCGUGCGUCUGAUUAGGUAGUUGGCGGGGUAACGGCCCACCAAGCCUGCGAUCAGUAGCUGAUGUGAGAGCAUGAUCAGCCACACGGGCACUGAGACACGGGCCCGACUCCUACGGGAGGCAGCAGUAAGGAAUAUUGGUCAAUGGACGCAAGUCUGAACCAGCCAUGCCGCGUGGAGGAUGAAGGUCCUCUGGAUUGUAAACUUCUUUUCUCUGGGACGAAACCCCCGAUUUCCAUCGGGCCUGACGGUACCAGAGGAAUAAGCACCGGCUAACCCCGUGCCAGCCGCCGCGGUAAUAC